rnacentral:snRNA from 1 species
AGAUGUCCAAGUGAUCUGGCUGUGAAAUCUGUCACAGCGCUGAGUGGCAGGGUUGGUUUGGCUGAUCUCGUUCGGCUAGGUGGGUGUCCCCUUUCUCCCUCACUGCUCCAUGCACGCGCCUCCAGAAGCUGGGUGUGAUGUUGAAGAAAGCAACCUUCCCUGAACAGAAGAACUCAUCUUCCAUCAAAGGUACAUGGAUAGCUGUGCUCUCCCCUGCUACAGCCUCCAAACAAGUUAUCAAAAAUGCAAAGGUAUUGGGUGAGUUUUACUCCCCCCCCCCGGGGUGGAGAGGGGGAGGAGGUAGGCUGUAUGGUCAGCAGAUGAUAAAGCUGGCUGUGAAGAUCAGAGCCAGCUCUAG